rnacentral:misc_RNA from 1 species
GUAGGUGAACCUGCGGAAGGAUCAUUAACACGUAUCCACGUAUCAACCCCUCUGUGAAAACCUAUCUCUUGUAAGGCUUGGUCUUAGUGUGCUGUUCGCAUAGAGUCCUAAUGAUGGAGGCUCUCUUCGGAGAUGCCUAGGGCUUGAAUAGCAUGUGUUUGACGUCCGGCCGCCACUUUUCCAUCGUUGGUCCUUUACAAACUUUUAACCCCUUUGUACUCUUUUGUACUGAACCAAUUCUUCGAUGCUC